rnacentral:rRNA from 1 species
AUUGAACGCUGGCGGCAGGCCUAACACAUGCAAGUCGAGCGGAUGAAGGGAGCUUGCUCGUGGAUUCAGCGGCGGACGGGUGAGUAAUGCCUAGGAGUCUGCCUGGCAGUGGGGGAUAACGUCCGGAGGCGGGCGCUAAUACCGCAUACGUCCUGAGGGAGAAAGUGGGGGAUCUUCGGACCUCACGCUAUCAGAUGAGCCUAGGCCGGGGUAGCUAGUUGGUGGGGUAAAGGCCUACCAAGGCGACGAUCCGUAACUGGUCUGAGAGGAUGAUCAGUCACAUUGGAACUGAGACACGGUCCAGACUACUACGGGAGGCAGCAGUGGGGAAUAUUGGACAAUGGGCGAAAGCCUGAUCCAGCCAUGCCGCGUGUGUGAAGAAGGUCUUCGGAUUGUAAAGCACUUCAAGUUGGGAGGAAGGGCAGUAAGUUAAUACCUUGCUGUUUUGACGUUACCAACAGAAUAAGCACCGGCUAACUUCGUG